AUAAUAAUUCAGCUCUUGGCUUUGCAAGGUGAUUAUCACUUCACAGAUGCAGAGUAGAGAAUAUUACUUGUUACAUAAAAUUGUUGUUGUCUGUCCAGCUUCAUUGCAUUGGAGAAUCUGCACACAGACUCUGGGAGAUGGAGUAGGGGGGAAGGAUUUUUAUGAAAUCAUUUGUUGGCUGCACAACUUCUGAAUGUUAUUUGUCAUACUGUCUGACCAUUAUCGUUUGGAAGGUUAAGAAAGCAAAAAAUGUACUUUUAAAAAAAGUUAUUUUAGUUCUCGAUUUAAGAAGCUAACAAAAUUUGUUUUGUUUGUGUGUGUGUGUGUGUAUAAAAAUACAGGUUCAGUAUUCAAAGAGUUAAUGGUGUAUUGCGGUUUAGUUUUGAAAACUGCUUCAAGUGGCUAUCUCACAAGGACAGAGUAAGCGAUGCGCAGAAUGCACGUGCUAAUGUCCGAAUGGCCUGGUCUGUGCUGGCAACUAGUAGGGAUUGGAAAAAUUGAAGUUCCACAGCUUGACACAGGGAGCAGGCUAGAGAAAUUCUUGCUGCGUCACAGAGCUGUGCCGAUAGGUCUGCAAGAGGCAGCAUUACUGCAUCAGAAGUAUAGGCAGAGACACCGAUAGAUAGAUAGAAAAGGAGAGGAAAGUGCUGGGAAGAAAAGUGUUUACACGAUUGACUCUAGGAAAAGGAUUCCAUAUACUGAUGAAAAGCGCACCUGAAUUUCUCAAUGUGUGGACAUGACAGUGGAAGCCAAGACACAGACCAUGCUAUCCGUCUCCAGGUUUGCCACCAUAUUCUGUGCAGUCUCGCCAUUUGGAGGAAUGAAGAGAAGGGUUGGAUGAGGAUGAAUGACGUUGCCCACUUCAUCAGUGCAAGUUUAAUAUUCAACACCAAUCAUGACGACUCAGAAGCAGUCCAUGACCGUAUGUAUGAGCUGGACCUAUUGGCUGACCUACAAGUGUGAGGCAACAACAUCUCCAACAAGAGAGAACCUAGCCAUCACCCAUUGACUUUCACUGGCAUUAGCAUCACUGAUACUCCCACAGUCAACAUCUUUGGGGUUACCAUUGACCAAAAACUGAACUGAAUCAGCCAUAGAAUUGCUGGGGCUACUAGAGCAGAUUGUCACAAGUGGAACAUUGAAAAAAGGCUGAAAGCAACCAGACAAGGAACACUCUUCAUCUGGAAAUAGCCCAAAUUCAUCUUUAAAUAGGUUUACUUGUGAUUAAACCUUACCAAGUAUUAUCAGAACAAAAGGUAAUGGAGAUUCUGCCCUAGGCAUCAAUGCAAUUGAACUGUAUCAAUGGAUUAUUUUGAUAAGCUAAAAGUAUGUUGCCCGCUAUUAUUCUCAAGAUCCAAGCAGAGUGAGAAACAUAAAUUAUAGUAACUCUUUGUGUUGACAAGGUAAAUUGUUAUGAUAUAGUGAUUUUUUUUAAAAAAGGGAACUGUUUGGGAAAAUCUUAACUAUUUCUCUACUUACAUCUAGUUUUAUGCAGACUUGGACUAUACAUUAUGUUUGUGAUUAACUCUCUUGUUCAGUGCUAGUCUUACUGCAUUUUUAAAUGAAAAACCUGAUGUAUAAUUCCAGAAUGAGAUCUGUAUACACAAAAGGGACUAGAAGGCGAUCAUCUUUUGAAUAAAGCUAGUGGGGUUUUUGCAGGGAUGAUGUGUCAUCUGUAGAAUUCUUUUAUUUGUCUAUAUGUGGUACUACUGUAAAAGUUUAAAAGAAUUUACAGACUGAAACAAAAGUAGUAUAGGAGUUGGGAGCAAAAACCUCUUUUUAAAAAAAAAAGACUUUUUUAAUAUGGCAUCAAAUGUACAGAACUGUAGUUGGUGUACUUUAAAAGGUCUUUGUUUAAAUAGAGCACAAUUACCUAUAUACAUAUUACAUGAUGUAAUGGAAUACCUUCUACAUCUCAAAUUAAAGUAUGAAAAUUUAU